rnacentral:rRNA from 1 species
UACGGAGGGGGCUAGCGUUGUUCGGAAUUACUGGGCGUAAAGCGUGCGCAGGCGGUUAUGUAAGACAGGUGUGAAAUCCCCGGGCUUAACCUGGGAACUGCAUUUGUGACUGCAUAGCUAGAGUACGGUAGAGGGGGAUGGAAUUCCGCGUGUAGCAGUGAAAUGCGUAGAUAUGCGGAGGAACACCGAUGGCGAAGGCAGCCCCCUGGGCUAACACUGACGCUCAUGCACGAAAGCGUGGGGAGCAAACAGG